GCCUCCUUGGCCCCUGCACGGCAUCUCGCAGUCCCACGUGCGGCGGGAGGGCGUUGCGGGGCGGGGCCAGCACGCACUGACGGGCCGCGGGAGAGGCACCGCCCCGGGGGCAGAGGCCAGGCAGGAAUAUAGGCAAAACCUUUUCCGCGCUGCGAACUCGCCCCGCCCAGCACCCGCCUUGAAGCAGGAGCGACUGCGCAUGCGCGCAAGCGCCCCAGUGAUGCUGGUUGCCUGCGGCAUGCAGCGAUGUCACCAGGAAGCUCUAAAGAAGAACCGGGUGAUGCUGGCAAAGCAGCUGGUUUUGAAAGAAUUGAUGGAGCACAUGAUAGAGAAGGACAUCAUCACCACGGAGAUGAUGGAAAUGAUACAGGCCAAGUCAGGGAGCUUCAGCCAAAAUGUGGAAUUCCUCAAUUUGCUCCCCAAGAGAGGCCCUAAUGCCUUCACAGCCUUCUGCGAAGCUCUACGAGAAACCAAACAGCAGCAUCUGGAGGCAAUGAUCUUGAAGACAACAUCCAACCUAAGCAAUGGGAUUGCAAGGCUUGAGUGCUGUUCUGGAUCAAAUCUUCCAUUCUCUACCAGUGAAUCCUGUAAUUCAAAGAGACCAUGCUGGAUUGAACCAAUGGAACAUUCCUUGGAUAAUAGAGAUGGUCCCCUGGUUCCUUCAGUGAAGCACUGCACUCCUGAAUUUUAUCAUAAUCAUCAGCACUUGGCAUAUAAACUGAUAACAGAGCCUCGGGGCUUAGCGCUUAUUCUCAGCAAUGUCCAUUUCAGCAGUGAGAAGGACUUGGAGUAUCGUGCAGGGGGGGAUGUGGACUGUACUUCCCUGGAGAUGCUUUUCAAGAAUCUUGGGUAUCAAGUGACUGUCUUUCAUGAUCUAACUGCACAGGAGAUGCAGAAUGCAUUGGAGAGAUUCUCUAAACUGCCAGAUCAUCAGGAUGUGGAUUCAUGUAUUGUAGCUCUACUUUCCCACGGUGUAGAAGGUGGGGCUUAUGGCAGUGAUGGCAAACUACUACAGUUGCAGGAGGCUUUCCGUCUCUUUGAUAAUGCAAACUGUCCGAAUCUCCAGAAUAAGCCCAAGAUGUUCUUCAUUCAAGCUUGCCGGGGAGGUGUAAGUGGGACUCAUAUUCACCUCCCUCUGCCCUGCUGCUGCUGCUACUGCAUCUGUUGCUCUAUAAGACAGACCGGGGAGUGGAUCAAAGAGAUGGGAAAGAAUGGUCAGAUUCCCCAGGUUGUGAGGAAAGUGAUGCAAACAAGGAAGAAAAUCUCAAGCUGCGCCUGCCUACAUGCUCUGAUAUGAUCUGUGGAUAUGCUUGUCUGAAAGGCACUGCAGCCAUGCGAAACACCAAGCGUGGAUCCUGGUAUAUUGAGGCUCUCACCUCUGUGUUUGCAGAGGACUCCCGAGACACUCAUGUGGCUGACAUGUUGGUGAAGGUGAAUAGGCAAAUCAAGCAACGAGAAGGUUAUGCCCCGGGCACAGAAUUUCACCGCUGCAAAGAAAUGUCAGAAUAUUGUAGCACACUCUGUCGGGACCUUUACCUUUAUCCUGGCUAUCAAGCAGGAAAAUAACCUGCCAGCUCUGUUGGAAGAGAGAUACUCCCAAAGCUGAACUUUGAGUAUGGAUGUAGAAUUUUCAUUCUUAUGGGCUGUGACAUCAGAUGCUCAAGCAAUGAAUGCUUUUUUAUACCUGGCCAGUCCGAUUCUUGAUGUCUCUUUCUAAAAUAAUCUGGCAACUCUCUUUGUAAUCUGAUACAGUUCAGGGUUUAAAAUUCCAAUAUCCUCACUCAUUCCAUAUGUAUAGACAUUGAGGAUCAGCACUGGAACUGGGAAGAAGUGGGAACAUCCUUUGGAAGGAGACAUAAGGACAUCAGUAAGCUAAGUGAAUGUGAAAAGGCAAACAGACUAUUCAUAGAAUUUUUUAAAUGUUAAGCCUCUCUGAAAGGAAAGUUAUUUAUAAAAUACUACUUAUCUUAUGCUUGUAUUUAAAAAUUUUUUAAUACUUUCUGCCUGAUUCUUCAGUCAGGACAGCCAGCUCCUGUGCAUGUUAGGAAAGGGUUUCUUUAUGAAGGAGAAUCCUUCCCCUGUCUAAAAUGGAAGGUUAUUUUGAGUACUUGACACUUCCCUGUCCAUCUCGAUCACUUGAAAGUCUCUUUUUGCACAUUCCUUCUGUAGCCAAGUUAAGAGAACUAUAAGACAUCCCAGGUUAUCAGAAAACAGAGAUCCAGAAUUUCUCAUGUAGGCAAAUAAGCCUUCAUGAACUGCCCCAGAAACGGGUUUGAAUCUAGAAAUUCUAGAUUAGCUUCCUUUAGUUUCAAGACUGAACAACUGCGUAGAAUAUUACAUUUGAGGAAUUUGUUUGCCACGGUAUCUGUGUGUCUCAACAGGCAUAGCAUUCAAUCCACCAGCUUCUCAGGAGUCUAUAAAUUGCUCUGUACAACUGAAUCCCUGAAACCCUUCAGCCUUGUACAAAAGGAUCUUUUGUGUUUUGUUAAAUUAACAAAAAUAUUCAAGGCAGCUCUUUACAGUCUAAGUGUGUUGCUUGGAUUAUUUAUCACUGCAGUUUGUUUCCCUUUUAAAUGAAAAGGAAGAGUUUCACCUUAUUACCCUGUUACGUGAGUUUUCUUUCUCAGCCACGGUCAUUUAAAGCUAGCUAAUGUUGUUUGCAAAGUGUCAUUUCAGUUGGUCAAUAAGAAAUGUUGUGGCAUAAUCAAUCACUUUUUAAUAUUUUCUGCACAGCCUCUUUAUGUUGUAAUUUGUUUCUUGCUUGUGUCCAGGAGAUGGGAAUUUUUCUCCUUUUGUGGUAGAGCCUAAACCCUGGUAUACUGGGUUAUACAUGGACUACAGGCUGUUCACUUGAGUCUCAAUCUUCUCGAUUUUGUAGCAGUAAGUUGGUAUAGUUUCUGGCUUACUCUUUUUAUGUAAGUGUGGCUUUUAAAAACUUUUUUUCAGCAUAAAUUAUGAAUAGGAAGCACAAAGGGAUAUGGAGGGAGACUGGAAAAUUAGACAUGAGCUUUUUUUUAUUGUUCUGCCUAGGAAAAUGAAGGCUGUGUUUCGUCCAGCUGACAAAAGUGCAUCAAUAACACACAUCUUGAACUUCUCUUAGACACAACAUGUGAUAAACAGAACAAGGAUUAUACUUGCCAAUUGGUGCCUUACUCUAAAGUUUGAAAUACCAUUUUAAGGGCUAUUGUACCUCCCUGGAGUAUAACCAAUUUCUUUGUGAGUGCUCCCUCUUUGAAAUGGUGCAAUAUUUUACAGAUACAUAUAUUGAUGAAGCAGUCCACCGUGAUGGAUUAGAUUACAUCAAGUUGCAUUAUCACUGCCAAUUUUGUAUAUACCUAUUGUAUACUUGUAUUUUACUGCCUUGAGGUGUCAAAAUAAAGAAUUACUGUUUGUUUGA